AUUUUGUUGGAUAUGUAUGAGAAGAUGAAAGCGACAUCUACACGUUAAUGUGAAUAAGUAAAAAUGUAAGAAGUCACAGAUGGCUGUCUCAAAUCAACAACCGGUGCAGUGAACGAGCGAAGUGACGCGGUUAUGUACGCAAAACAAUCGCGUCAGACGCGUAAAACGUCGUGAAACAUGUAAGGAGUUGUUAUCGUAAGUGCCAUCGUGUUGAAUUUUACGUUUCUUUUUGUUUCACAAUACGGCCGAUUACUAGUGAAAGCAAAAUUUGGCUCGAUCCGCCGUUGUCUUUACGAAUUGGUUUUAUCGUCGGUGACGUACGGUUUUGGGGCACCGAGGCCAAACACGAAUCGCUGUUCAAGGAUGAGCGCGAACAAUGUGCAAGCACUUUUCGCAUGUUCCAGAUGCUUUUCAAGGCAUCCUUUUGAAGAACUUUCUCCAGGGCAACAAUUGUGUAAGGAAUGCAGAGGUGCAUUUCCUGUGGUGAAAUGUACAUAUUGUAGAUCGGAAUUCCAACAAACGAUAAAGGGCAAUACAAGCACUAUUUGUAAGAAAUGUGAACAAAAUGUGAAAUCUUAUGGUAAGCCAUCAGCCUGUGAAUAUUGCAAUACCAUAGCUGCAUUUAUUGGUAGUAAAUGUCAAAGAUGUACAAAUUCUGAGAAGCGUUAUGGGCCACCAGUUACUUGCGAGCAAUGCAAACAAAAGUGUGCCUUUGACAGACAAGAUGAAGAUAAGAAGGUUGAUGGAAAAUUAUUAUGUUGGCUGUGUACAUUGUCAUACAAACGAGCAUUGGCAAAAACAAAACAAUCCGAUGCUGAAAGGAGGGCACAUUUGAAAUUAGCACAACAACGAGCAGCAAAGCACAAAGAACAAAAAUUAAAGAGUCAUAAUAAGAGACCACACAGAAUAGAUGUAACGAAGCUACCGCCUCAAUCGGAAGGUGCGGACACAAAUGGUCCAACACCGGUGAAAGCAGCGCGAAUGGUUGGUGUCCAUGAUCCACAUGAUCCCAAUAGUUCGGAUCAUGUAGUCGCCGUUACACAACUUAAGGAAAAGAUAGCUCAUCUUCAGAAACAAAUAUCUAUUAAAGACGGGCAAUUACUUGCUAAAGAUAGACAAAUUACAGAAUUGAAAGCAAAAAAUUUUACAUCAGAAACAGAGCUGCGUAAUAAAAUGAAAGCGACAGAAAAAGAGUACGAAGCCAAAAUAUCGACGAUGCAACACAAGAUUUCCAGUUUGCUGAAAGAAGUUGCUUCCUUAUCGAAGAGUUCUAAGCGAGGUGAUAGAGUAGCUGCCACAAAAACAGAAGCUGGGACCAACAGUGGAAGCGGAACAGACAGUCCUGUACCUUGAUAAGGUGGCGGGCACACGCGAGCGGAUCCGAGCGGAGCGCGAUUAAAAGUGAAGGCUGUUGACCACGUGGCCGGAGGUCAUAGCGGCGUAGGCAGACGUUACUCUCUUCUCGUCUGGUGGAAGCGAGCCGCGAGGCCUGGGCUGCGCCUCGCCGAGCGGUAUGAAAGAAGAACUCGGAAGAAGCCUGGGAUUUAUUCCGCUGCGCGGAAAUGAACCCUCCUGAUGACGAAUCCUCCUUCUCGACUCGUGUGGAGACGAGUAGUCACGAGAUGCGCGGAGAGGUGAAUGGAGGGCUCGAAUAAAGAAAGUUACGUCACUGUUGGCUGGCGAACCGACGACUCCCUCCCGACUGCCCGUCGCAGGAGCGGCACACGCACCGCGGAAAGUCGACGGACAAGGAAGGAAGUUCGCAGCGAAUAGGAAGAACGGCGUUAGAAACGGAUUCGAAGGAGAAAGGGGUGACGAUUGGCGACCUAAUAAGACCGAGGGGGAUAUUCAGGGACACUGGUACACGGAGCAGAGAGAAAGAGAGAGGAUGGAUGUCACAGGAGGAAAGGAGAACUACCGUGUUGAAGGGGGUAGGGAUGAAGAAAGGAGAGAAAGAGAGAGAGAGAGAGAGGAGGGUCGCUGUGUGCUCGGUCGAAGACACGAGACACACGGCGACCGCUCGUUACAUAAGUAAGGUAAAGGAUCUCCUCUUCUGCUCUCCUUGAGUCGAUCCACAUCCGCGAUUAUGCCACUUUCCAUCGACCUCGCUUCACCUCGGCUCGCCGUGCAUCGACACCAUGUGUGUGUGUGUUUGUGUAUGUGUGUGUGUGUGUGUGUGUAUACGUGCAACGGAAGCUCGUGAUUUCCUUUAUGGAUCGAAAUCCGGAGCUUCCUUGAAAAAAAGGUCGAAUCAGGAUUCCAGCCAUCGAGAGAGAAAAGAAAUCAUUUUUCUCCACCUCUCUAUG